rnacentral:rRNA from 1 species
GAUGAACGCUAGCGGCAGGCCUAAUACAUGCCAGUCGGACGGGAUUCAGGAGCUUGCUUCUGAUGAGAGUGGCGCACGGGUGCGUAACACGUAUGUAACCUACCUUUAUCAGGGGGAUAGCCUCUCGAAAGAGAGAUUAAGCCCGCAUAAAAUCACAGCACAGCAUUGUGUAAUGAUCAAAUAUUUAUAGGAUAAAGAUGGGCAUGCAGAACAUUAGCUAGAUGGCGGGGUAACGGCCCACCAUGGCGACGAUGUUUAGGGGAUCUGAGAGGAUGGCCCCCCACACUGGUACUGAGACACGGACCAGACUCCUAUGGGAGGCAGCAGUAAGGAAUAUUGGUCAAUGGGCGGAAGCCUGAACCAGCCAUGCCGCGUGCAGGAAGACGGCCCUACGGGUUGUAAACUGCUUUUAUACGGGAAUAAACCCAGAUACGUGUAUCUGGCUGAAUGUACUGUAAGAAUAAGGAUCGGCUAACCCCGUG